rnacentral:lncRNA from 1 species
AUGGCGAGAGCACAGGUGCCAAUGCAGGGGCUUUACUCUUAAGCUUGGCAGGAGCGGGAGCUGGAGUAGUUGCUGGAGGAGAUGAGAGUGGAGUAGGUGUGAGUGCUGGAGGAGGAGUUGCUGGAGGUGGAGUUGCGGGAGGUGGAGUAGCAGGGGGAGGAGAGAAUGGUGGAGGUGAGGCAGGGGGUGGUGAUGCAGGUGGUGGAGUAGACUGAACAGGUGGAGGAGUGAGUGGGGUUGGAGGAGGAGAUUGCUGAACAGGUGGAGGAGAAGACUGAACGGGAGGGGGAGUGGACUGAGCUGGUGGAGGGGAUGACUGAAGAGGAGGUGGAGAAGACUGGACGGGUGGAGGAGAAGAUUGAACAGGUGGAGGGGAGGCUUGAGGAGUGGUUGGGGGUGUAUUAGCAGGAGGAGUGGGUGGUGCUGGAGAUGAGUUUGGGGAGGUGGAUGGAGCUUGUUGGGCUCCUACGCUGGAAAACACAACGCAGAUCAAACCAAUUACAACCAAAACUAUAUGAUGUGUGCCCAUCUUAAUUGUAUUGAUUUAAAAUGUAUAUGAUGAUAUUACUCUUUG